rnacentral:rRNA from 1 species
AGUGAACGCUGGCGGUAGGCCUAACACAUGCAAGUCGAACGGCAGCACAGGAGAGCUUGCUCUCUGGGUGGCGAGUGGCGGACGGGUGAGGAAUACAUCGGAAUCUACUCUGUCGUGGGGGAUAACGUAGGGAAACUUACGCUAAUACCGCAUACGACCUACGGGUGAAAGCAGGGGACCUUCGGCCCUUGCGCGAUUGAAUGAGCCGAUGUCGGAUUAGCUAGUUGGCGGGGUAAAGGCCCACCAAGGCGACGAUCCGUAGCUGGUCUGAGAGCAUGAUCCGCCACACUGGAGCUGAGGCACGGUCCAGACUCCUACGGGAGGCAGCAGUGGGGAAUAUUGGACAAUGGGCGCAAGCCUGAUCCAGCCAUACCGCGUGGGUGAAGAAGGCCUUCGGGUUGUAAAGCCCUUUUGUUGGGAAAGAAAUCCAGCUGGCUAAUACCCGGUUGGGAUGACGGUACCCAAAGAAUAAGCACCGGCUAACUUCGUGCCAGCCGCCGCCGUAA